UGGGGUAUCGCCAAGCGGUAAGGCACCGGAUUCUGAUUCCGGCAUUCCUAGGUUCGAAUCCUAGUACCCCAG
rnacentral:tRNA from 2 species